GACGAACGCUGGCGGCGUGCUUAACACAUGCAAGUCGAACGAAGUGGCGAACGGGUGAGUAACGCGUAAUCAACCUGCCCUUCAGUGGGGGACAACAGCUGGAAACGACUGCUCAUACCGCAUACGGAAGGAGGUGCUUGCGUCUGAUUAGCUAGUUGGAGGGGUAACGGCCUACCAAGGCGAUGAUCAGUAGACUGUCUGAGUGGAGGAUCUGCUACAUUGGGACUGAGGACAGGCCCAGACUCCUACGGGAGGCAGCAGUGGGGAAUCUUCCGAAAUGGACGAAAGUCUGACGAAGCAACGCCGCGUGAGUGAUGACGGCCUUCGGGUUGUAAAGCUCUGUUAAUCGGGACGCGGUACCGGAAUAGAAAGCCACGGCUAACUACGUGCCAGCAGCCGCGGUAAUAC
rnacentral:rRNA from 1 species